UACGUAGGGGGCGAGCGUUGUCCGGAGUUACUGGGCGUAAAGCGCACGUAGGCGGAUAUUUAAGUCAGGGGUGAAAUCCCAGAGCUCAACUCUGGAACUGCCUUUGAUACUGGGUAUCUUGAGUAUGGAAGAGGUAAGUGGAAUUGCGAAGUGUAGAGGUGAAAUUCGUAGAUAUUCGCAGGAACACCAGUGGCGAAGGCGGCUUACUGGUCCAUAACUGACGCUGAGGUGGCGAAAAGCGUGGGGAUCAAAGCAGG
rnacentral:rRNA from 1 species